GUAGUCAUAUGCUUGUCUCAAAGAUUAAGCCAUGCAUGUCUAAGUAUAAGCAAUCUGUACAGUGAAACUGCGAAUGGCUCAUUAAAUCAGUUAUCGUUUAUUUGAUAGUACCUUACUACAUGGAUAACCGUGGUAAUUCUAGAGCUAAUACAUGCUAAAAACCUCGACCUCCGGAAGGGGUGUAUUUAUUAGAUAAAAAACCAAUGGCUUCGGCCUCCGUGGUGAAUCAUAAUAACUUCACGAAUCGCAUGGCCUUGCGCCGGCGAUGGUUCAUUCAAAUUUCUGCCCUAUCAACUUUCGAUGGUAGGAUAGUGGCCUACCAUGGUUGCAACGGGUAACGGGGAAUUAGGGUUCGAUUCCGGAGAGGGAGCCUGAGAAACGGCUACCACAUCCAAGGAAGGCAGCAGGCGCGCAAAUUACCCAAUCCCGACGCGGGGAGGUAGUGACAAUAAAUACUGAUGCAGGGCCCUUUCGGGUCUUGUAAUCGGAAUGAGUACAAUUUAAAUCCCUUAACGAGGAACAAUUGGAGGGCAAGUCUGGUGCCAGCAGCCGCGGUAAUUCCAGCUCCAAUAGCGUAUAUUAAAGUUGUUGCAGUUAAAAAGCUCGUAGUUGAACCUUGGGUCUGGCUGAUCGGUCCGCCUCACCGCGUGCACUGGUUCGGCCGGGCCUUUCCUUCUGGCAAACCCCAUGCCCUUCGCUGGGUGUGGUGGGGAGCCAGGACUUUUACUUUGAAAAAAUUAGAGUGUUCAAAGCAGGCAUAUGCUCGAAUACAUUAGCAUGGAAUAAUAGAAUAGGACGUGCGGUUCUAUUUUGUUGGUUUCUAGGACCGCCGUAAUGAUUAAUAGGGAUAGUCGGGGGCAUCCGUAUUCAAUUGUCAGAGGUGAAAUUCUUGGAUUUAUUGAAGACGAACUACUGCGAAGCAUUUGCCCAGGAUGUUUUCAUAAUCAUGGACGAAAGUUGAGGGAUCGAAGACGAUCGAUACCGUCUAGUCCCACCAUAACUAUGACGACUAAGGGAUUGGCCGAUGCUUAUUAUUCUUGACUCGCCUCGCCCUUGCGAGAAAUCAAAAAACUUCUGCGGUCUCAUGGGGGGAAUGAUAGGACAAGAUCGCAGAGAGA
rnacentral:rRNA from 1 species